GAUGAAGAACGUAGCAAAAUGCGAUAAGUAAUGUGAAUUGCAGAAUUCAGUGAAUCAUCGAAUCUUUGAACGCACAUUGCGCCCGCCAGUAUUCUGGCGGGCAUGCCUGUUCGAGCGUCAUUUCAACCCUCAAGCAAAGCUUGGUGUUGGGACUCGCGUUAAUUCGCGUUCCCCAAAUUGAUUGGCGGUCACGUCGAGCUUCCAUAGCGUAGUAGUAAAACCCUCGUUACUGGUAAUCGUCGCGGCCACGCCGUUAAACCCCAACUUCUGAAUGUUGACCUCGGAUCAGGUAGGAAUACCCGCUGAACUUAAGCAUAUCAAUAAGCGGAGGA
rnacentral:misc_RNA from 1 species